UACGUAGGGUGCGAGCGUUGUCCGGAAUUACUGGGCGUAAAGAGCUCGUAGGUGGUUUGUCGCGUUGUCCGUGAAAACUCACAGCUUAACUGUGGGCGUGCGGGCGAUACGGGCAGACUGGAGUACUGCAGGGGAGACUGAAAUUCCUGGUGUAGCGGUGAAAUGCGCAGAGUAUCAGGAGGAACACCGGUGGCGAAGGCGGGAUCUCUGGGCCGUAACUGACGCUGAGGAGCGAAAGCGUGGGGGAGCGAACAGG
rnacentral:rRNA from 1 species